GAUGAACGCUGGCGGCGUGCCUAAUACAUGCAAGUCGAGCGAACAGACGAGGAGCUUGCUCCUCUGACGUUAGCGGCGGACGGGUGAGAAACACGUGGAUAACCUACCUAUAAGACUGGGAUAACUUCGGGAAACCGGAGCUAAUACCGGAUAAUAUAUUGAACCGCAUGGUUCAAUAGUGAAAGACGGUUUUGCUGUCACUUAUAGAUGGAUCCGCGCCGCAUUAGCUAGUUGGUAAGGUAACGGCUUACCAAGGCAACGAUGCGUAGCCGACCUGAGAGGGUGAUCGGCCACCCUGGAACUGAGACACGGUCCAGACUCCUACGGGAGGCAGCAGUAGGGAAUCUUCCGCAAUGGGCGAAAGCUUGACGGAGCAACGCCGCGUGAGUGAUGAAGGUCUUCGGAUCGUAAAACUCUGUUAUUAGGGAAGAACAAAUGUGUAAGUAACUAUGCACGUCUUGACGGUACCUAAUCAGAAAGCCACGGCUAACUACGUG
rnacentral:rRNA from 1 species